rnacentral:rRNA from 1 species
CAGUCGCCGCGGUAAUACAGAGGGUGCAAGCGUUAAUCGGAAUUACUGGGCGUAAAGCGCGCGUAGGUGGUUUGUUAAGUUGGAUGUGAAAGCCCCGGGCUCAACCUGGGAACUGCAUCCAAAACUGGCAAGCUAGAGUACGGUAGAGGGUGGUGGAAUUUCCUGUGUAGCGGUGAAAUGCGUAGAUAUAGGAAGGAACACCAGUGGCGAAGGCGACCACCUGGACUGAUACUGACACUGAGGUGCGAAAGCGUGGGGAGCAAACAGGAUUAGAUACCCGCGUAGUCCCUGUCUCUUAUAA